AUGAACGCUGGCGGCGUGCCUAAUACAUGCCAGUCGAGCGAACAGACGAGGAGCUUGCUCCUCUGACGUUAGCGGCGGACGGGUGAGUAACACGUGGAUAACCUACCUAUAAGACUGGGAUAACUUCGGGAAACCGGAGCUAAUACCGGAUAAUAUAUUGAACCGCAUGGUUCAAUAGUGAAAGACGGUUUUGCUGUCACUUAUAGAUGGAUCCGCGCCGCAUUAGCUAGUUGGUAAGGUAACGGCUUACCAAGGCAACGAUGCGUAGCCGACCUGAGAGGGUGAUCGGCCACACUGGAACUGAGACACGGUCCAGACUCCUACGGGAGGCAGCAGUAGGGAAUCUUCCGCAAUGGGCGAAAGCCUGACGGAGCAACGCCGCGUGAGUGAUGAAGGUCUUCGGAUCGUAAAACUCUGUUAUUAGGGAAGAACAAAUGUGUAAGUAACUAUGCACGUCUUGACGGUACCUAAUCAGAAAGCCGCGGCUAACUACGUG
rnacentral:rRNA from 1 species